ensembl:lncRNA
CGAGGCUAUAUGCAGGGGGUACCGGUACAGAGUCAAUGUGGAGGCUAUAUACAGGGUGUACCGGUACAGAGUCAAUGUGGAGGCUACAUACAGGGGGUACCGGUACAGAGUCAAUGUGGAGGCUAUAUACAGGGGGUACCGGUACAGAGUCAAUGUGGAGGCUACAUACAGGGGGUACCGGUACAGAGUCAAUGUGGAGGCUAUAUACAGGGGGUACUGGUAGGGAGUCAAUGUGGAGACUAUAGACAGGGGGUACCGGUACAGAGUCAAUGUGGAGGCUAUAUACAGGGGGUAUCGGUACAGAGUCAAUGUGGAGGCUAUAUACAGGGGGUACCGGUACAGAGUUAAUGUGGGGGCUACAUACAGGGGGUACCGGUACAGAGUCAAUGUGGAGGCUAUAUACAGGGGGUACCGGUACAGAGUCAAUGUGGAGACUAUAUACAGGGGGUACUGGUACAGAGUCAAUGUGGAGGCUAUAUACAGGGGUACCGGUACAGAGUCAAUGUGGAGACUAUAUACAGGGGGUACUGGUACAGAGUCAAUGUGGAGGCUAUAGACAGGGGGUACCAGUACAGAGUCAAUGUGGAGGCUAUAUACAGGGGUACCGGUACAGAGUCAAUGUGGAGGCUAUAUACAGGGGUACCGGUACAGAGUCAAUGUGGAGGCUAUAUACAGGGGUACCGGUACAGAGUCAAUG